rnacentral:misc_RNA from 1 species
AAAAAAAAAAAAAAAAAAAGCAGAAUUAGGUGAGGAUUCAGGUAACCAUAAUAGCAAUGUCAAUCCUAAGAAGUUCUCAGUUGCAGGCAUUGAGCUAUUUUGCAUAUGCUCCAUAUCUCAAGCUAUCAGAUACAUCGAAAGAAUAAUUUGGACCCAAUAAAAUGACUGCCCCAUCAUCCCAUGUGAUACAACAAAACUCCAAAGAAUCCCAUCAUAAAAUGCACCGACAGUAACACAGAAACCUUGAAGUGGUAAUGUGCAGGAGGUGACUAGCAAACAUCAUUUCCAGAAAGCUGUUAUAAUCACCAUGUUUUAUAC